GUUGAGAACCACUGCCUCCAAGACACAAAUCCUGUCUGAUCUUGGAAGCUAAAAAGGGUCAGUUCUGGUUAGUACUUGGAUAGAAGGCUACCAAUAAAUACCAGUUGGUGUAGACU
rnacentral:rRNA from 1 species